AUUGAACGCUGGCGGCAUGCCUUACACAUGCAAGUCGAACGGCAGCACGGGGCAACCUGGUGGCGAGUGGCGAACGGGUGAGUAAUGUAUCGGAACGUACCUUUCAGGUGGGGGAUAACGUAGCGAAAGUUACGCUAAUACCGCAUACGCCCUGAGGGGAAAGCGGGGGAUCGUAAGACCUCGCGUUAUACGAGCGGCCGAUGUCGGAUUAGCUAGUUGGUGGGGUAAAGGCCUACCAAGGCGACGAUCCGUAGCGGGUCUGAGAGGAUGAUCCGCCACACUGGGACUGAGACACGGCCCAGACUCCUACGGGAGGCAGCAGUGGGGAAUUUUGGACAAUGGGCGCAAGCCUGAUCCAGCCAUGCCGCGUGAGUGAAGAAGGCCUUCGGGUUGUAAAGCUCUUUCAGACGGAAAGAAAUCGCGCGCUCUAACAUAGCGCGUGGAUGACGUACCGUAAGAAUAAGCACCGGCUAACUACGUGCCAGCAGCCGCGGUAAU
rnacentral:rRNA from 1 species